UGAAUACUAAGAUCAAACAGUAGGAAAAAAAAUGAUUUAAUUUCGGGGUCUUUUCAUUUUAAUUGAAACGGGGUCUUUUCAUCCACGAGCCCCUUGUUUUGACAUCAACUUCGAUUUACUUUGGCGAUCCCCUCGGGGUUGUUGUUUUUUUCGCAUGUUUAUGUUUUUGUUUUGAUCGGAGGCAGCGCAGCAUGCAGGAUACGAUAACGCGGAAAACGCAGCUAAUGCUGUUCCGGAUCCGCAUUACGGGAAACAAUUCGGGUGCACCGAUGACUCCUAGGACUCUAUCGUCAAGAUAAUGAUUGCAGAUCGCGAAGCAAUUCGAUUGCAGAUCGCGAACAUUCUGGUGAGCGUGAGCUUUGCCGAUGAAAGUUGAAAAGCCAAGAAAAAGAAAUCCCGCAGUAAGAAGGGAAAUGGAGAAAAAAAUACAAAAACGACCUUAAAAACAUAACGAACCGCUAGAGUACCCAUCAACGAGUUAACGCAAGAAGCACAAAGUGGACGAAUACAUCAAACCGGUGGCAAUAAUUGAUUUGAAACAAUAACCCGAAAGACAGCUGAUUUCCAGUCCCGAGGUUAUGUAAGAGCACCUCGUUCUCAUCGUGAUUGCAAUAAGAGAUCAAGCGGUCUGUUAAUGGUCAAAUCGAACGCUUCUCUGGAACCGGUGCCGAAAUUACCAGAAUCCUAUGUUCCCUUCGAGCAGACUUAGUCUCCGACUUAAUCGCCAGGUUACGGACACAAUAUGGGUAGCACAUUGACGAUUAUCUAUCCGGAGAAGCAUCAGCAACAACACUGUCCCAUCAGUAUCUGCGAGGUGCACAGGAUUCUCAACAGUGCUGUCAGCGUCCUCGACCUGCAUCCGACAUCUCCGAUGGAUCAUCACUCACCGCAAGGACCAUUCUUGUAUUCACCGAUCUUCGCCGAUUAAAUCGAUUCGCGUUCCUGUCACGGUCACCUCUGGUGUCAUGGUACCAGGAACGUCAAUUGGUAUUUCGACCUUCUGCGGCGAAAAUGUGAACAAGUAGAUAAUUACUUAAUUUCGUUACUGCAGUUUUUGUCACUUGAUAGUCUAAAUAAAUAUGGGGCGGUGGGUAGGGAGGUUGUGGUUAUAUUUAGCAAUGUGGAACUAACCGAAGAUACCAAAGCCACAUUAACAUUUUAACGGAUUGCAUCAUAAAGUGAAAUUCUUUGGUAAUAUUUUCUUAGUAAGAAUGUACUGAGGCUUUUUCGGUUCCCAAUGCUAGGUGAAAGUUAGGACGUACUUAAGCUUUUUCGGUUCACCAUGUCCUCUGAAUGCAAGGUGAAGCAAAUAAAGAUGGAAUAUACUUAAGCUUUUUCGGUUCACCAUGUCCUCUAAAUGCAAGGUGAAGCAGAUAAAGUUAGGACGUACUUAAGCUUUUUAGGUUCACCAUGUCCUCUUAAUGCAAGGUGAAGCAAAUAAAGUUACGACGUACUUAAGCUUUUUAGGUUCACCAUGUCCUCCUAAUGCAAGGUGAAGCAAAUGAUGUUGGAACAUACUUAAGCUUUUUCGGUUCACCAUGUCCUCCUAAUGCAAGGUGAAGCAAAUGAUGUUGGAACAUACUUAAGCUUUUUCGGUUCACCAUGUCCUCUAAAUGCAAGGUGAAGCAGAUAAAGUUAGGACGUACUUAAGCUUUUUAGGUUCACCAUGUCCUCUUAAUGCAAGGUGAAGCAAAUAAAGUUACGACGUACUUAAGCUUUUUAGGUUCACCAUGUCCUCCUAAUGCAAGGUGAAGCAAAUAAAGUUAGGCCGUACUUAAGUUUCUUCGGUUCACCAUGUCCUCCUAAUGCGAGAUGAAGCAAAUGGUUCAUCAUGUUCUCCCAUCGCAAGGUGAUGCAUACGUAAUCGUCUUUUGAAUUCAAAGAAAUUCUGAAGUUGUUACAGAAAUUCUUAGGCAAUAUUACGUUUGGUCAGAUGAUUGAAAUUUUCAGGUUCACCAUGUUCUCCCAAUGCAAGAUUAUGCAUAGGUUUUUUUUAAAUUCGAUCUUCUACGAGCUUCGGGAUUCAUCUCAUCCAACACAUUCAAAGGUUCUUGAGGUCCAUUGAUGACAGAGCCACU